CACGUAGGGUGCGAGCGUUGUCCGGAAUUAUUGGGCGUAAAGAGCUCGUAGGCGGUGUGUCGCGUCGGCCGUGAAAACUUGCAGCUUAACUGUGGGCGUGCGGUCGAUACGGGCAUCACUGGAGUGCGGCAGGGGAGACUGGAAUUCCUGGUGUAGCGGUGAAAUGCGCAGAUAUCAGGAGGAACACCGGUGGCGAAGGCGGGUCUCUGGGCCGAUACUGACGCUGAGGAGCGAAAGCGUGGGGAGCGAACAGG
rnacentral:rRNA from 1 species